AAAGGCCCUUCGGGGUACUCGAGCGGCGAACGGGUGAGUAACACGUGAGUAAUCUGCCCCUAGCUCUGGGAUAGCUCCGGGAAACCGGGAUUAAUACCGGAUACGACCCCUUCGGACAUCUGAAGGGGUGGAAAGAUUUAUCGGCUAGGGAUGAGCUCGCGGCCUAUCAGCUUGUUGGUGGGGUAACGGCCCACCAAGGCGACGACGGGUAGCCGGCCUGAGAGGGCGACCGGCCACACUGGGACUGAGACACGGCCCAGACUCCUACGGGAGGCAGCAGUGGGGAAUAUUGCGCAAUGGGCGAAAGCCUGACGCAGCGACGCCGCGUGGGGGAUGAAGGCCUUCGGG
rnacentral:rRNA from 1 species